CUAAAAAUAACUAACUACAGUUCUGAUCCUAUGAUAAUCAGGACAGGCUAGACAUUCACUAUAGUAAGACCAUAAAUGUGUCCCCAGACCUUGUUCUUUACCUAGGUCUGAUUAUCUAAAUGCUGGUGACAAGC